rnacentral:rRNA from 1 species
GAUGAACGCUGGCGGCGUGCCUAAUACAUGCAAGUCGAGCGAACGGACGAGAAGCUUGCUUUUCUGAUGUUAGCGGCGGACGGGUGAGUAACACGUGGAUAACCUACCUAUAAGACUGGGAUAACUUCGGGAAACCGGAGCUAAUACCGGAUAAUAUUUUGAACCGCAUGGUUCAAAAGUGAAAGACGGUCUUGUUGUCACUUAUAGAUGGAUCCGCGCUGCAUUAGCUAGUUGGUAAGGUAACGGCUUACCAAGGCAACGAUGCAUAGCCGACCUGAGAGGGUGAUCGGCCACACUGGAACUGAGACACGGUCCAGACUCCUACGGGAGGCAGCAGUAGGGAAUCUUCCGCAAUGGGCGAAAGCCUGACGGAGCAACGCCGCGUGAGUGAUGAAGGUCUUCGGAUCGUAAAACUCUGUUAUUAGGGAAGAACAUAUGUGUAAGUAACUGUGCACAUCUUGACGGUACCUAAUCAGAAAGCCACGGCUAACUACGUG